rnacentral:rRNA from 1 species
UACGUAGGGGGCAAGCGUUGUCCGGAUUUAUUGGGCGUAAAGAGCUCGUAGGUGGUUCGGUAAGUCGGAUGUGAAAUCUCCAGGCUCAACCUGGAGGGGUCAUUCGAUACUGCCGUGACUAGAGGUCGGUAGGGGAGUGUGGAAUUCCUGGUGGAGCGGUGAAAUGCGCAGAUAUCAGGAGGAACACCCGUAGCGAAGGCGGCACUCUGGGCCGAUACUGACGCUGAGGCGCGAAAGCUAGGGGAGCGAACGGG